AUUUGGAUGUGCCGCAGGGAGACUCAAUGCUACUCUUUCAUCUCUCCCUGGGACAGGAAAUGGGGGAACCGCAUAACUGAACUCUGGUCCAAGAAAGGCCAAUAAUAUCACAUUCAGAAUUCUCCCAUUCACCCCACAGAGAAGAAUGCCAAUUCAUGGGGGUAUCCUCCCUUGGACUUUGGAUGGGAGAAUGAAAGGGGAUCUUGCUGACCCAGAGGUCGAAAUUGCAUCUCCUGCACUGCAGUCAACAGUUGAAUGACAUCAAGCAAGGAGUUACAAAGAUGAAGCAGGAGUGUGGGAGAGCGAUCAGACCUGGAAAAUGUGACAGGCCAAUGGAAACACAAGCGUCACUUAAUACCUAGUAAAGGAGACAUUUUUCAAGGAAGCCAUUUACCAUCCUCUAACUCAUAUUGCCUUUCUUAUCUAUGGGUUGAACACAUCCUGACUGCCAGAAUAAGACGAAUGGGUAAAGCUAAGAAAAUAUCCUGCAAAAACUAUAUGAGGAAAGCAUAAUAAAUAAUUCCUUGGGAACAGUGCCCAGGCAUAAAAGAAUUUGAGGUUUUGAAUUUGGGAAAUUGAUCGUGAUUCUGGAACAUAAAUAUGGAAAUGAAGUCAGAGAGUGGUUGGAAGACGUGUUAUUUUACAGGUCCAGG
ensembl:lncRNA